UACGGAGGGUGCAAGCGUUAUCCGGAUUCACUGGGUUUAAAGGGUGCGUAGGCGGGUUGGUAAGUCCGUGGUGAAAUCUCCGAGCUUAACUCGGAAACUGCCGUGGAUACUAUCAAUCUUGAAUAUCGUGGAGGUAAGCGGAAUAUGUCAUGUAGCGGUGAAAUGCUUAGAGAUGACAUAGAACACCAAUUGCGUAGGCAGCUUACUACACGAUCAUUGACGCUGAGGCACGAAAGCGUGGGGAGCAAACAGG
rnacentral:rRNA from 1 species